rnacentral:rRNA from 1 species
ACUCCUACGGGAGGCAGCAGUGGGGAAUAUUGCACAAUGGGCGCAAGCCUGAUGCAGCCAUGCCGCGUGUGUGAAGAAGGCCUUCGGGUUGUAAAGCACUUUCAGUUGUGAGGAAAGGUUAGUCGCUAAUAUCGGUCUAGCUGUGACGUUUAGCAACAGAAGAAGCACCGGCUAACUCCGUGCCAGCAGCCGCGGUAAUACGGAGGGUGCGAGCGUUAAUCGGAAUUACUGGGCGUAAAGCGCGUGUAGGUGGCUUGUUAAGCCAGAUGUGAAAGCCCCGGGCUCAACCUGGACUGCAUUUGGAACUGGCAGGCUAGAGUUUUGUAGAGGGGUGGUAUAAUUUCAGGUGUAGCGGUGAAAUGCGUAGAGAUCUGAAGGAAUACCGGUGGCGAAGGCGACCCA